AAUGACAUUGACAGGGGGGCGUAGUUUUAAAACAAAGAUUGCCAGCAAAUAAAAAUAUCUCCUCAAUUUUAGAGAAUAUAUUGAAAUUGUCAAUGUUGAAAACUGAGUAAGUUUUAAAAAAUGGGAAAGCCAUCCCUGUUUCCACAGCGAGAAA